AUUCUUUUAUUCUUUCUCCCUUUCUGCUGCUGAUGUUGUUCUUGGAUUUCCUUUCCCCCAAUUUCUUUGUUAAAAUCUUUUGUUUUCUUGAUCAUUGAAACUCUUCAAUCUUCUAAAAAAUGGCUCCUAAAAAGAUUCCUCCCCCUACCGUGUCCAGUAUCUUCGAGGAUUUUAAAGCUGAUAUUGAGAAGCAGGGGUUAUAUUUAGCUCCAGCAGUUGAUUCCUAUGUUUCUCCUCCCAUCACCGCGGAUAAGUCCAUGGAGUUCAACUACCGAUGGAUUCAAUCUGAAACUCGGACUCCCAACAGAAUGAUUAUCAUUGCAGGUCAACUGCCAGUCGGUCUUACUUUUCCCUCAAGCUCCAACGAGGUGUUUUCCAGUCAAGUGGGAACGCUAUUCGUAUCGCGAAUGAGUUCGUUUAGCGAUCGAAUAGUGGUCCCUCUCAGAUUCCUCUGAUAGCGAAGGAAUUUGAUCCGGUAGAUUAAGAUACAGACUCCUUUGUGGCGAAUUACAUCGACAAAACCCUGUCUACGAGGAAAUACCAAGAGUGGGGUGUUAAGCUUACUCGGAAACCUAUGGAUGACCCUUCUGAAGCCCUUCUUCAAGAUGUCGAACCUUUUGGCAAUGCAAGGAAUGACUGUCUUCGCUUUUCAAAUGAAGAAGAUACGAUGAUGUUCCCUUUGAUUGCUGAGGGUCCUGCGGUCUGGGGUUUUGAUGAAAAUGGUAAAGCUCGCACUGGUCCUCUUCCUGAGCAUAUUUAUCUUGCAGCUCAUGAGCCUGGGAGGUUCCAAUGGUCCGAAAUGCCAGCUGGGUAUACUCUUCCUCCUUCCGGUUUGCUUAAAGACCGCACGAGGAAGAAAUCUUCUGCUGAUUCUCCUGCCUCUGAACAGGAGGAUGAACCAGUGGGUCCUCCGGCUGCUGCAGUGUCUACUCGUAGUCAAAAGAAGCGAGAUCAUCCUGAUAUCCCUUCUCUUGUUGAUAAAGACGGUUCCCCUAGUUCUCCUUCUGCUAAGGAUCAUCCCAAGCGCCAACGUAAGGUCUUAAACUUGGAUGCCUUGACACAAGUCAAGAGUCCUUCUGCAGUUACGGGUCGAUCUACUCCUCCUCCUAAGCAUCAACCAGCGGAGCCUCCCCGCGAAGUCACUCCUCCUCAGUCAACAUCAAGAUCGAGGCUUUUUUACUCUAUUCUCACUGUCGUUGUGGACGAUCCACCAGAGAAAUCGUCCAAAGACAAGGAGGAUAAGGAGAAGAAGCGGGUCUAUGAAGUGGAAGAUCCUGAUUAUGUUCCCGAUAUGGACUUCUUAAAGCAGAUCUUCAUCACAACUCGUGGGAAUGCUUCUCUUAGGUCUCCUGCUGCCGAAUAUCUGGCUUCCUUUAGCUCCGAUACUUUCCUUGCCGAGGAUCAGUCUUAUAUAAUGAACGCCUCGUUAAACCUCUUUCUUGAACAACAUGCAUCUAUAAUGGGACUGGUGUAUUCCGAAAAUUUUCUUCUAUGGUAUUUCGUGAAUCUCCCUUUGAUUUGUUUCUGAUGGGUCCUCUUUAUUUCGUAAGAGUUUAACCGCCAUAUGGCUCAGCUGGUGGAGACUAGAGUGUAUCGUGAACAGUUGGUGAAGUCUGGUGCUCGUAUUUGCGAGCUUGAGAAGUUACUUUACGAAGAGAAGAAGCACUCGUCUAAGCAAGAGAAGAAAUCUGAUGAACUUCGCAAUAUCAAACAAGAUGAAUAUUCUUCAUGGGUUUUCCUUUUCCAACUUCAUCUACAAGCACACAACCUCCUUUUUCUUAUUGACGAUUCCGCUCCACCACCAGAUCUUGAUGCUGCCACCAUACUACAACUUGAUGCCCUCUGCCGUCAAUGGAUGUUCUCCACCAUGGCCAAAGAUUUGAUGCUUACAGUUCUCAAAACUGGUAAAACUGCGAAAGAGUUAUGGAAUCAUCUUAAAAAUCUUUUCCAAGACAACAAAGGAAGUCGUGCCGCUAACCUAGAAAGUAAGUUCGUGAAUCUAAGAUUUGUUGAUUGUAACAAUGUUGAUGAUUAUUGUGAUAAGCUACAGGCACUUUCGAAUCGACUAAGUGAUCUUGAUUUUCCAAUGGAUGAGAAACGUUUGGUUAUACAACUUGUCAAUGGACUUCCGGAGGAAUAAAAUAUUGUUGCCUCCUUCAUCCAACAAUCGAUGCCAUCUUUUGACACUGCUCGAUCUCAAUUACGCACUGAGGAGAUUCGCCGUGAACAGCAAUCAAACUACAGCUCCCAUACUGCCCUUGCGGCUGCCAACAACCAGCGUUCACCUGCUACUUCUUCUUCCGUCACCAGCAGUUUUCACUCAGCGUCUGCCCACCAGCGUUCCGAGCCCAGUUCCCUGAUGGGCCACCAAGCUGCCCUUCUGCCAACUCCACCAGGCCCAAGACGUCACCCUACUGCACCCAACUGGGCUCCCCAAUGGACGUCUCCCCCAAGCCCAUACCCUGCUGUACCUUACUGGAGUCAGCAGCAUCAUCUCUCUGGUCGUGGCCGAGGUCGUCAGUUCCGUGGGCGUGGCCGUGGUGGCGGACGCACCUUCUCAGCUGCCCGUUCACCACAAGCUUACGUCACUCCUACAACGGAAUACCUUCAACCAUCGGAUAUUGCCGAAGCAUAUAGCUCCAUGAGCAUUCGAGCGCCUGAUGAUGACUUCUACAUGGACACUGGCGCAACAUCACACAUCACCUCGGAUCCAGGUACUUUACAUAAUGUUUUUCCUUCGAGCAAUGUGCGGUCUAUCUUUGUGGGUAAUGGCAUCAGCAUUCUGGUAACUGCUAGUGGCUCUAGGUUCAUAGAUCUUCCAUCUCACACCCUUCAUCUCAAAAAUACUCUUGUCGUUCCUUCCAUCAUCAAAAACUUAAUCUCUGUUUUUCAUAUUAGUUGAAUUUUCAUCUCCAUAAGGAAAACGAGGGUUUGAGAGUUGAGUUACACUACUUCGCGAAAUCUUCACUCUUCGUCAUUGGCUCAGAUCAAACGAUUAGAAGAAGACAAAACUCGCAUAAUUAAGAGGAAUGACAAGUCCGAAGUUGAUCUUCGCAAAUCUCGCAACGAGAUUACUGAUUUAAAGUCCGAGAAUGACAAGUUGAAAAAUGAAAUGGCUUCCCUCUUAUCUCGCUUAGAGAGGCUUCAAGGUAAGAAGAAAGAUACGGUAUGAGUUACGAGCUAAAUAAGUAACUCGUAAAUCCUCCCAAGAGUGAUAAGCUCGUCAUUAAUCAUCCUGAUGAAGAUAAAUCCGUUUCUGGUCAUGGCGAAGGGUGGGAUAACUCAUAUCAUGAACUUUGCAUCCAACUUGAAGCCGCGAAAUUCGAGAUUUCUAAACUCGAACAUCUAAAUGAUGACGUUCAAAAAACCUUGGGAUCUGUUAUUUCGCAGAAGAAAGGUAGUUCUAGGUGUUGCGGAUGGCUUCGCUUAGUAUUGCAUUUUAUUUGCUAUGUUUCUUACUCGUCUUUUUAUCUUUGCAAAAUUUGAGGAGCGCUUUAAAAACCAAGUUCUUCAUUUAUCUCGUCAGAAGGAUGAGCUUUCUAAGGAGGUUUCCAAUCUUAAGGAGGAAAUCAUGUAUCUGAAUGAAGAUUUUGUUAACAUGGAGAGGGAUGCCGCUAAGGUCUCGAAUCUUACUCGCAAAAAAGCCCAAGCUGCCAAGGUUCAUCUCUUCAAUGAUAUCUGUGACUCUCGUGGGAUUCCUCGCGUGCCUUUGGAUCUCGAAGUGUUUUCUGAUGAUGAGCCUACUAUGAGAAGAAAGCUCCUUCUGAUGAGGAUGAAGAUGAUGAGGAGACGGAUAAAUUUUUGAUGUGGGCGUUCUUUGAUGGGGGCAUGAGGGACAAAUCAAGAGUUGACAUGUGUUUUUCAUAUUAAUUGAUU